rnacentral:rRNA from 1 species
CGCAUCUGUGCAUGCAGCAUAUCAAUAAGCGGAGGAAAAGAAGCUAACAAGGAUUCCCUUAGUAACGGCGAGUGAAGCGGGUAGAGCUCAAAUUUGAAAUCUUCAAGGUUUUACCUUGACGAAUUGUAGUUUAAAGAAGUGUUUUCUGCUGAAGUUUUGGUAAAAGUUCUUUGGAAUAGGACAUCAUAGAGGGUGAGAAUCCCGUAUUUGACCAUUAUUUUCAGCUUUGUGAUACACUUUCAAAGAGUCGGAUUGUUUGGGAAUGCAGUCCAAAAUGGGUGGUAAAUUUCAUCUAAAGCUAAAUAUUGGCGAGAGACCGGUAGCGAACAAGUACCGUGAGGGAAAGAUGAAAAGAACUUUGAAAAGAGAGUUAAACAGUACGUGAAAUUGUCAAAAGGGAAGCGUUUGACACCAGUGUUGUUUUCUCGAAAAUCAAUUAAAAAUGGCUCGAUUUUGUAUUGCUGAGACCUUAAAAGCUCACUGUACAUUUUUCGUGUCUUUUUUAAUGCACUUUUCGUUUAACAAGUCAACAUCAGUUUCUUUUGUUGUAAAAGGGUCAUUGGAAGGUGGCUUUCUUUUCGGAGAAAGUGUUUAUAGCCUUUGGCCUCUGCAAUCGAAGAGACUGAGGUCUGCAGCGUAGACUCUUCGGGGUUAGAUACAUUUGUGCUAAGUUAUAGCUUUUUAUAGACAACUUGUUGAUCUAUAAUUAGUCUUGUAGCUUACUCGCUUAUGCUAUUUUACCUACGCUUAGGAUGUUGACGCAUGAGAUAUACGC